ensembl:lncRNA
CUCAAAGCCUAGGAUGGACUGUGUGAAGUGUCUAAACCGUUACCAGCUCUGGCAGGUAAGUCUGGUUGUGGUUGCCUGACGUCUCCAAAGUCAUAGAGCUGCUGAGAGGCACAGGAGGGGUCUGAAACCAUGGCCCCUAAACUCUAAAACCUCGAUCCUGGUUUGCUAACACAGUCCUGAGGCAUCACUGCUGCCUCCUCGUGGCCCCAAAACACUCUGGACUGGCUCCUGGGCCAAGAAGUUUCUUCCAGUUUCUGAUGUUGUUACUCACUGUGACCAGGAAAUGUUGGGUUCUUUGCAGAGACAGCCUGCGAGACACCUGGACCUAACACUGAGGAGGCAAAACCCUGCUGAAAAGGCAUGUGAAG